AUUGAACGCUGGCGGCAUGCCUUACACAUGCAAGUCGAACGGCAGCACGGGGGCAACCCUGGUGGCGAGUGGCGAACGGGUGAGUAACACAUCGGAACGUGCCCAGUAGUGGGGGAUAGCUCGGCGAAAGCCGGAUUAAUACCGCAUACGACCUACGGGUGAAAGCGGGGGAUCGCAAGACCUCGCGCUAUUGGAGCGGCCGAUGUCAGAUUAGGUUGUUGGUGGGGUAAAGGCCACCAAGCCGACGAUCUGUAGCUGGUCUGAGAGGACGGCCAGCCACACUGGGACUGAGACACGGCCCAGACUCCUACGGGAGGCAGCAGUGGGGAAUUUUGGACAAUGGGCGCAAGCCUGAUCCAGCCAUGCCGCGUGCGGGAAGAAGGCC
rnacentral:rRNA from 1 species